CGGCGGACGGGUGAGUAACACGUGGAUAACCUACCUAUAAGACUGGGAUAACUUCGGGAAACCGGAGCUAAUACCGAUAAUAUAUUGUAACCGCAUGGUUCAAUAGUGAAAGACGGUUUUGCUGUCACUUAUAGAUGGAUCCGCGCUGCAUUAGCUAGUUGGUAAGGUAACGGCUUACCAAGGCAACGAUGCGUAGCCGACCUGAGAGGGUGAUCGGCCACACUGGAACUGAGACACGGUCCAGACUCCUACGGGAGGCAGCAGGG
rnacentral:rRNA from 1 species